UGAGUAUUACAUGGCCAAUCUC
rnacentral:miRNA from 15 species